UUUCCGUUGGUGAACCAGCGGAAGGAUCAUUACAGAGAUCAUGCCCCUCGCGGGUAGACCUCCCACCCUCUGUAUACAAUACCUUUGUUGCUUUGGCGGCCCCGUCGCAAGACAACCGGCUCCGGCUGGUCAGCGGCCGCCAGAGGAAUCAAAACUCUUAUUAUUAUUGUCGUCUGAGUACUAUAUAAUAGUUAAAACUUUCAACAACGGAUCUCUUGGUUCUGGCAUCGAUGAAGAACGCAGC
rnacentral:misc_RNA from 1 species